CACCGCGGUUAUACGAGAGACCCAAGUUGACAGACAAUCGGCGUAAAGAGUGGUUAAGUAGCACAUUACACUAAAGCCAAACACCUUCAAAGCUGUUAUACGCACCCGAAGAUCAGAAGCUCAAUCACGAAAGUGGCUUUAAACUAACUGAACCCACGAAAGCUAGGGUA
rnacentral:rRNA from 1 species